rnacentral:rRNA from 1 species
UACGAAGGGGGCUAGCGUUGCUCGGAAUCACUGGGCGUAAAGCGCACGUAGGCGGAUCUUUAAGUUCAGGGGUGAAUCCUGGAGCUCAACUCCAGAACUGCCUCUGAUACUGGGGAUCUUGAGUCCGGAAGAGGUAAGUGGAAUGCGAGUGUAGAGGUGAAAUUCGUAGAUAUUCGCAAGAACACCAGUGGCGAAGGCGGGUCUCUGGGCCGUUACGUGA